rnacentral:rRNA from 1 species
AAGGAGACAUAUGAUGAAUAGUUAACUAAAAUUAUAGGAUAGUUUUUAAGUUUCAGUAAUAAAAAUAUUUUUAAUUUUAAGUAUGUUGAAGUAAAGAAGAAUGAAAUAAUAAGUUGAGUUAUAGUUGAUUUGUACCGAAAGGGGUUAGGGUGAAAUAUUAGUAAAAAUUAGUCGGGAGAAAGUAGGCUUUAUUUGGUGUACCUUGUGUAUCAGGGUUGAUUAAGUAGGAUUUAAAAAUUUAUAUGGUCCCGAGUCAAAUGGUGCAAAAUUAGUUUGGAAGUUGAUGUGGAAAUAUUAUUUGUAAAAUUAAUUUUGUAAUGAAACGUUAAUCGUUUUUUGAGAUAUCUGGUUUUUUGAGAAAUGAAUUGAAUUCAGUUAUGUACAGAUUUUAUGUAAAGUUGUUUUAUUAAUAGUGUGUGUAUGAUAAUAGUGUGGGGGAUAAGCUCUAGAUUAGGUUUAUAAGUGUUAAUGUUUGGAAUUUAUUUAGGUUUAGAAAUAGCCAUAAUUUAAAGUGUGUAAUUAUUUAAAUUAAUGAAAUAUAUUAUUUAUCUAAAGGUUUAAUUAAAUUAUCAAAAUUGAAUAAGGAAUUAAAGGUUUAUUGGUAAUAAUGAUUAAAUUAGUAUAUAAGUUUGUUUGUCAAAUGUAUUAUUGAGGGGAAGGCUAGGAAAAGGAAUUAGGCAAAUAUUAUGCUCGCCUGUUUAACAAAAACAUGUCCUUUUGAAAAUAAUUUAAGGUCUGACCUGCCCACUGAUGAAGAAUUGAAGGGCCGCGGUAUCUUGACCGUGCAAAGGUAGCAUAAUCAUUAGUCUUUUAAUUGGAGGCUGGAAUAAAUGGUUGGACGAGGCAUAAGCUGUCUCAGGUUAGAUGAAGGUAGAAUUUAACUUUUUAGUGAAAAGGCUGAAAUGAGUUUAAAGGACGAGAAGACCCUAUAGAUCUUUAUAUAAAUUUAUUUUGUGAGUAUAUUUAGGUGUUUAUUUUUACAGAUUAAGUGUGUAUUUAAUUGGGGUGAUGGAAAGAUAGGAAAAACUCUUUUUGAUUAUGAUACAAUGAUUUUUGAUUAGAUUGAUCCAUAAGUUGUGAUUAAAAGACUAAGUUACCUUAGGGAUAACAGCGUAAUUUUUUUUGAGAGUUCUUAUCGACAAAAAAGAUUGCGACCUCGAUGUUGGAUUAAGAGAUAAGUUGGGUGCAGGUGCUCAAGUUUUUAGGUCUGUUCGACCUUGAAAAUCUUACAUGAUCUGAGUUCAGACCGGCGUGAGCCAGGUCGGUUUCUAUCCUUAAAAGUUAAGAAUAUUUUAGUACGAAAGGACCAAAUAUUUGAAUAAGUUUUUUUAUUGGGAGUUUUAUUAAUGG